GGGGUUGUGGCUCAAAGGGAGAGCACUUGCCUAGCACGCGAGAGACUCUGGGUUUGAUCCUCAGCACCACA
rnacentral:tRNA from 1 species